rnacentral:snoRNA from 1 species
ACGGCAUCGUUGAUGUAAAAAAACUCUUUUGUUAUCCUUGCACUUUGAUAUCCCAUGAAGAAAGUUUGGGGAAUUUUUGUCUGAGAUGCCA